ensembl:lincRNA 9030407P20Rik RIKEN cDNA 9030407P20 gene
AGAGCCUUCCCGAGGGGGCGUCGGCUCAGCCCGGCGCUCGGGGCUGCUACGGUGGUUCGGGUCGGAGACCCCUGAGAUCUUAAAGAUUUGUCCAGUGAGAAUUAGGUGCAGACUGUUCCAGAGACAAGGAAACAGUCACUGGGGAGAGAGAAAGUGGAUGUCAGGUUCAGGGACCUGCAGAACGGCCCGUGUGACUAGAGAGUGAGUGGCAGGAGAAAAGCACUCCAUAGAGCAAAUGGAGAUGAUUUUUCUACUUAAGUACCACCUAAGCUAUCUCUAGAAAGACCUAGAAGAGCGACUUUUGUCUCUAUUUUUGGGAUGCCUACAUGUCCACAAAACUCAGGAGGUUUCAAAUUCCACCAAAUCCAGCAUCCUUUCGUAAUGGGCACCAGUGCCACCACGUAGAUUGGGGAAAAUGGAGUUGAUUGCUGGUCUAAAGACUUUUCAGCCCAAACAUUGGUCUCUUGGGACCUUGUGUGCAGCAGAGGCAUCUCAUCACUCACCUGAGUAAACAGCUGGGAUCUUUCUAUUCGGAGAUGAGCCACCAUGCCCCUUACGGUGGAGAGUCCUUGGAGACCCAGAAGAACAUAGACGGCCCCCAGGAGGGCUCUGUGCUGGCAGGCUAAAGACAGAAAUAGCCAUACGGUGGCUGUUAAAGGGAUGAGACUGUGGCGUGCUUUCUUGUGAUAGAUGGUAGGACUCAGCUCGGAAGAAGCUGACUCCAGAUGGGACUUCAGGGAAAACGGGAAGAAACCGUGCCAUUACUCUGCACUUGAAGGAGCAUCUUUGGCCUGACAGGAUAAUGAACACACUUCCUCUCUCAGUCAGGUUUACUGCGUGGGCCGAGAGAGUGGCAGCUAUGUUGCAUAUUUGUGCCUGGGAUUCUUAGGGUGGGAGAAGACAACAGUCAAAUCCAGAGGUUAGCUUACACCCAGGGAUCAAAUGGCAAUUUGUCUGGUAGGUUGGUUCUCGCAGAACUGUCUCCAAGAUGAAAAGUUAUUGAUCGGUGGUGUGUAGGACAUUUAUUAGGGAGCUCUCUUAGGACCAAUUCCUGUGGGGGGAAGGAAGGAAGUGGAAUUAAUCCGAAGUCAGCUACAGGCCCAGGAGGUUUUGACAGACUGAUAGAGAGCUCUCAAGCUAGGGUGGGUGUUUGGAGUUCUGUCAGGACAAAGGGACUAAGUCUUCUAGUACCGACUAGGUAUUAGGUGCUAGCUACCCCGGGAAGAGGACAAAGGGACUAAGUCUUCUAGUACCGACUAGGUAUUAGGUGCUAGCUACCCCGGGAAGGGGGCAUUGUCUUGGGGGAAAGCAGCUUAUUCAGCCAAGGCUGGUUCAUCAAGAAGACAGCAGAGGGCUGGGAGAUGGCUCGGUCAGUAAGGUGCUUGCUGUACAAGCAGGAGGUCUUGCUUGGAACCCAUGUGAGCCCAGGCACAGUGCCUAUGACCCCCCCACACACACCCCCCACCCUCCACUGGGGAAAUAGAGACAGGAGGAUCCCUGUAGCCUGCUGACCAAAUAGAUAGUCUACACAAGUAAGGAAACAUACAUAAAUGCCCUUAAAAGACUUCUAUCAGAUCACUCAACCUACAACCCUCUCCAUAGCUGGGGACCAGUCCCUCUGCCCUGAGGGAGCGCCUGUAUUACAAAGUGCAUCUUGUAGUUUAUUCUGUAACUUGGUUGUCAUGAAGUGUGUAACCUGGUCGUCAUAAAGUGUUUUGGGUUUUGGGUUUGAGGUUUCCUCAGUGUAGCCUUAACUGUCAUGAAACUUGCUCUGUAGACCAGGCUGGGCUUGAGCUCAGAGACCCAUCUGCCUCUGCCUCUUGAAUGUUGGGGUCAUUUAAAGGCAAGUGCCACCACCCUGGCCUUUUGACAGGAUCUUAGGUAGACCAGGCUGGUAUGGAAUUUAUACCCUGCCUCUGUCUUUCAAGAGCUGGGAUGGCAGGUAUGUGGUACCAUGUCUGCCUAGUAAAUUUUCAGUUCCUCGACAUCUUCUAAUAAAGUUGACUACAGGAAAAAGAACCACGUUGGUCCAGUGAUUUGAAUUCCCUUCAUAUCCCCCAUUCUUGGGACAUGCUUACCUGGAUUUGACGAAACUCUCCUACUGUAAUGAGAUGCAAGCCAGAGAGAUGGCUCAGUAGAAAAGUGCUUGCUUAUGGGUCCUGAGGACCUGAGUUCAAUGCUUAGGAUCAGCAUGGUCGAGGGAAAGAACCAACUCCUCUGACCUCUACAUCCUGACCAGGACAAUGCAUGCUCAUCUACACAUGUCCAUGUAUACACACAUAAAUGUAAUAAAUCCUUUUAUGAAAU